rnacentral:rRNA from 1 species
UACAGAGGUGGCAAGCGUUGUUCGGAAUUACUGGGCGUAAAGGGCGCGUAGGUGGCCUUCUUAGUCAGACGUGAAAUCCCCGGGCUUAACUCGGGAACUGCGUCUGAUACUGGAAGGCUCGAGUUCGGGAGAGGAAUGUGGAAUUCCAGGUGUAGCGGUGAAAUGCGUAGAUAUCUGGAGGAACACCGGUGGCGAAGGCGGCAUUCUGGACCGAAACUGACGCUGAGGAGCGAAAGCCAGGGGAGCAAACGGG